UACGAAGGGGGCUAGCGUUGCUCGGAAUCACUGGGCGUAAAGGGUGCGUAGGCGGGUCUUUAAGUCAGAGGUGAAAUCCUGGAGCUCAACUCCAGAACUGCCUUUGAUACUGAGGAUCUUGAGUUCGGGAGAGGUGAGUGGAACUGCGAGUGUAGAGGUGAAAUUCGUAGAUAUUCGCAAGAACACCAGUGGCGAAGGCGGCUCACUGGCCCGAUACUGACGCUGAGGUGCGAAAGCGUGGGGAGCAAACAGG
rnacentral:rRNA from 1 species